rnacentral:rRNA from 1 species
UACGUAGGGUGCAAGCGUUAAUCGGAAUUACUGGGCGUAAAGCGUGCGCAGGCGGUUUUGUAAGCCUGUCGUGAAAUCCCCGGGCUUAACCUGGGAAUGGCGAUGGAGACUGCAAGGCUAGAGUUUGGCAGAGGGGGGUAGAAUUCCACGUGUAGCAGUGAAAUGCGUAGAGAUGUGGAGGAACACCGAUGGCGAAGGCAGCCCCCUGGGUCAAAACUGACGCUCAUGCACGAAAGCGUGGGGAGCAAACAGG